AUGUCUCUGUGGUGUUUAUUGGGUUUUGUGUGUGUGUGUCUCUGUGGUGUUUAUUGGGUUGUGUGUGUGUGUGUGGCUCUGUGGUGUUUAUUGGGUUGUGUGUGUAUGUGUGGCUCUGUGGUGUUUAUUGGGUUGUGUGUGUAUGUGUGGCUCUGUGGUGUUUAUUGGGUUGCGUGUGUGUGUGUGUGGCUCUGUGGUGUUUAUUGGGUUGUGUGUGUGUCUCUGUGGUGUUUAUUGGGUUGUGUGUAUGUGUGUCUCUGUGGUGUUUAUUGGGUUGUGAGUGUGUGUGUGUCUCUGUGGUGUUUAUUGGGUUGUGUGUGUGUGUCUCUGUGGUGUUUAUUGGGUUGUGUGUGUGUGUGUGUGUCUCUGUGGUGUUUAUUGGGUUGUGUGUGUCUCUGUGGUGUUUAUUGGGUUGUGUGUGUGUGUGGCUCUGUGGUGUUUAUUGGGUUGUGUGUGUGUGUGUCUCUGUGGUGUUUAUUAGGUUGUGUGUGUGUGUGGCUCUGUGGUGUUUAUUGGGUUGUGUGUGUGUGUGGCUCUGUGGUGUUUAUUGGGUUGUGUGUGUGUGUGGCUCUGUGGUGUUUAUUGGGUUGUGUGUGUGUGACUCUGUGGUGUUUAUUGGGUUUGUGUGUGUGUGUCUCUGUGGUGUUUAUUAGGUUGUGUGUGUGUGUGGCUCUGUGGUGUUUAUUGGGUUGUGUGUGUGUGUGGCUCUGUGGUGUUUAUUGGAUUGUGUGUGUGUGUGGCUCUGUGGUGUUUAUUGGGUUGUGUGUGUGUGGCUCUGUGGUGUUUAUUGGGUUGUGUGUGUGUGUGGCUCUGUGGUGUUUAUUGGGUUGUGUGUGUGUGUGUCUCUGUGGUGUUUAUUGGGUUGUGUGUGUGUGUGGCUCUGUGGUGUUUAUUGGGUUGUGUGUGUGUGUGGCUCUGUGGUGUUUAUUGGGUUGUGUGUGUGUGUGGCUCUGUGGUGUUUAUUGGAUUGUGUGUGUGUGUGUCUCUGUGGUGUUUAUUGGGUUGUGUGUGUGUGUGUCUCUGUGGUGUUUAUUGGGUUGUGUGUGUGUGUGUCUCUGUGGUGUUUAUUGGGUUGUGUGUGUGUGUGGCUCUGUGGUGUUUAUUGGGUUGUGUGUGUGUGGCUCUGUGGUGUUUAUUGGGUUGUGUGUGUGUGGCUCUGUGGUGUUUAUUGGGUUGUGUGUGUGUGUGUGGCUCUGUGGUGUUUAUUGGGUUGUGUGUGUUUGUGGCUCUGUGGUGUUUAUUGGGUUUGUGUGUGUGUGGCUCUGUGGUGUUUAUUGGGUUUGUGUGUGUGUGGCUCUGUGGUGUUUAUUGGGUUGUGUGUGUGUGUGA
rnacentral:lncRNA from 1 species